rnacentral:tRNA from 1 species
GGGGGUGGCUCAGUGGUAGAGCACUUGCCUAGCACGUGCAAGGCCCUGGGUUCAAUCCUCAGCACCACA